GUGGACCUCAGCGCUGUGCAGGAGAAGUUCAGGCAGUUCUCCUUGCAGACUGACUUCCUUCCUGAAAAUAUUUUCAUCCUUCCCAAAAGUGAUGAGUGUCCAGCUGCUGAAGACAUUAAAAUCUGUUAUGUAAAUGUAGCCGAGAACCAACCUGAGUACUGCUGGGAAAAUAAAAAGGCAAACAUCAAAA